rnacentral:rRNA from 1 species
CGUCUAGAGAUAGGCGUUCCCUUGUGGCCUGUGUGCAGGUGGUGCAUGGCUGUCGUCAGCUCGUGUCGUGAGAUGUUGGGUUAAGUCCCGCAACGAGCGCAACCCUUGUCUCAUGUUGCCAGCACGUGAUGGUGGGGACUCGUGAGAGACUGCCGGGGUCAACUCGGAGGAAGGUGGGGAUGACGUCAAGUCAUCAUGCCCCUUAUGUCCAGGGCUUCACACAUGCUACAAUGGCCGGUACAAAGGGCUGCGAUGCCGUGAGGUGGAGCGAAUCCUUUCAAAGCCGGUCUCAGUUCGGAUCGGGGUCUGCAACUCGACCCCGUGAAGUCGGAGUCGCUAGUAAUCGCAGAUCA